CGAACCGUGUCUCGGGAGCGUUAGAGAUGGAGACUAACGUCUUUCAAGGGAGAUUGCGUCUCCACUUUCACCCUGGUACUGAGAGAUUGAGCACAAAAUUGAUUGGCCUGGGGUACAUCAUCUAAAGAUCCUAGGAUUGCUGCAGGUCAGCAGUCUCCACUGGAAAAAAAGAUCUUGAAUCUAGGUGGUGUGCAUACAACAGCAGCAAGACAGUUGAUAAUGCAGAAAUAUCAGGAGGAGUGUGAAAUACUCUGUAGGGAGCAAGCUGUUUCUCUUGACUACUGGCUUGCCAAAGCAGAGUCUUAUUAUAAUAAAAUAAUAGUGGAAAUGAUGAAAGAAGAGACAGGCAAUGAAAUCUAGAAAAAAAUGGAGGAGAAAACAACCCAAAGCGUAGAAGGACUAAAACAGUACUGUUUGGUACCUGAGAGAGAGAUGAAACACAUAGAAAGGCACAUACAUCAGACAGGAAAGGCUGGAGAAUUUAAGAACAAAUCAUUUAGACAAGUACUACAACCCCCCAAUGAAACAAAAUUACCAAAAAUUAUGCCAGAAGGGCAUGGCAUCCAGAACGCACAGAGAAGAAAGCAGGUAAAUGAGAGGGAACAGAUGCAGACUAAGGAUCACCAGGAACGCAUGAUUCGAGGGAGAGAACUUGCAGAACAAAGACUCAAGGAGAGAAUCUUGAGAAGAAGCCAGAGCCAGCUACUUACAUAUGAGAAGCAUGAGAGAGUAAAAGAGAUAAAGGAGUUUGAAAGAGUUAUUGCGUAUCUUCUUUUCCAACCAUGCAGUAGAAGUCGGAUUAAAGUGAGUAUUCUUAUGGAUAAGUCUCAGAAUGGAGAGAAGGUGAAUACAAUUGUGAAACCAUAUCAAAGAAAAUUCUUGGCAAUGCCACCCUUUUUAAGAAGUCAAAUAGGAAAAAUAACAGAUUAAAGUUUCAAUGCUGUUAUGAUAAAAUCAUAUCUCUUAAGUGAACCCUUUUUUUUUUUCAAAUGCUCGUUCUCUCCAGGGUUCAGUGAAUAUUCCCAUUUGUAUCAGAUACAGAUAGAUAGUUCUGCACUUGAAAAUUAGCUUAACUAUUUUUAGUUGACUUGCAUUUGUUCAAGUUGCAUAUCCUUUCUAGUGUUCAGUGUCCUCAUCUUUAAAAUGGCAAUAAUAUUUGAUGGCAUUUAUGGAAGGACUGUUUUUUUUGUGAAGUGUAGGUAUGUAUUAGUUGUUUCAUAAAUGUUAGUUUCCCCACUUGGAAAGACCGGGGUUGGGCAAUGGUGGUGAAUAAAGAAUUAUUCUAAUCUACUUCUCUUAUUCUCCCUGCUCCCAGCCCUCCAAGGUUAUUUUGAUGAGAUUGCUAUAGUUUAGUAUAUGGUCUUUAAUAUCAUACCUUCAUCAGAUAACUACUAGCCAGCCCCUAAAAGUGUAACUUGCUCUGUACAAUUUAUUUGAAUGAGAAACUUAAUUUUGAGAGCCUCCUACAUGCUAGGCAUUAUGUUAGUUACUGAAGGUGAAUAAAGAGAAGUCUCUGCCCUUGAAUAAUUUUCAACUAAUGGCAUAGAUCACUCUAUAAACAGAUAAUGUAGUAAAUAAAGGUUACAAUAGAAAGGUACAGGGUGCUUUACAAAGGACGGAUUCUAACCUGGCCCAGGUGAGCAGGGUGAAAAGGAGGAAGGUUAGGGAAGGGAGUAUUAUAGUCUGUCAUGUUUCUUCCAGCUUUUUUUGUCACUUCCUAUCACCCACUUAAGCAAGACCUUCCUAAUGCUUGGAUCCACUCAGGGAUAAUCAAACUCAGCCUUUCUCAAACUCAUGUUUUUGGCACUCAUUGAUAAAUCAGAAAGCAAAUUUAUAAAUUUAGUGAGAAUUACAGUUGUCAAGCAGAAUGAAAUUUGUGUUUUCUAGUCAGUUUAUUUUCUUCCCAGAUACCAGAAAGUUGGGAAAGCAGGGGUUCAGAGUUGGUAAGCAGAGAAGCAAAUAAAUGGAAAUAGAUGCCCUCAGGAAUAUUAUGCUUAAGUUGUGAUAAUUCUGAUGCCCACCUUGCUUUACUAGCAGAACACCCUUUACCCUGGAUACUGCUAGGUCAGCCACUGAUACAAAUGUUCUGUGUCUGUGCUCCUCAGUACAGUAGCCCUUGCUACACGUGGCUGUUGAGGCAUUUAAAAUGUGGCUGGUGCAGCUGUGGAAUGGAAUGUUUAAUUGAAUUUCAUUUAAAUUUAAAUUGCCACAUGUGGCAAGUGACUACCCUGUUGCACAGUGUAGCACUGGAUAAACAUAACUUCUGUGUUCUAGAUUCCAGUCCCACCAUUAGCUUUCUGUUUUUGACAGUGUUUGCUGGUAUGAUAGGUCACUGUUCAUUUUACAUUACUAUCAGUUUAGUUUCCUUUGCAUUUCAGAGGCUCCCUAAUCCCUUAAAGAGAUUUAAAAAUCAAUGUAGACCACUUCUGUGUGAAAAUAAGAUGACUGAAUUUGCUUUGAUUGGAAUUAGGAACUGACCUCUCUUUGCUAGUUCUGGAAUUUGGCCAGGAUGCACAUCAAAAUCUCAUUCCUACCCUCCUGAUUUGCCUCAUGGAAACUUCGUUGCUGUGUCUGUUCUCUGGUCCUCUAUUGCUAUGUCUCAGCUUUAGAUUCUAUGUUUUGCAUAGAAAUGGAUCAUCAGAAUGCAACAGGCAGAAGACUUAGAAGUGCAAAUCAGUAGGGUAAUGACAAGCCCUUUGAGCUGAGUGGGACUGAAAAGUAACCUAACAUAUAACCUAUUAGUAAUUGUUUACCAUGAAGGUUUUCAGUGCUGGACACAUAAAUUGCUGAGUUCAACUGCCCUCUUUCCCCUCCAAAUCUAGCAUAAAAGCAACUGGUGCUCUCAGGGCAAUUUCACACCUAAUAUGGCUAAGAAUAAAAGUCUAUGUUUCAGGAACUCAGUUUGUCCAAACCUGCAUCCAUCAUCUACCUCAAAUUAUAUCCACCUUUUCAUUUCUUUGCACUGUGUCUGCUUAAAUCUUGAGUCACACUUAAUGUUUUUUUUUUGGUCUUUUUUCUUUUUAAUGUGAAAUAGAAUAUACAAUACACAAAUGAAAAUGUAUAUUUAGAAGAACAAUAAUAAAUGUCCAGGUGCCCGUUGCUCAGACUGAGAAAUGGAACAUUACUACAUCCCAGGAGCCUCGUAUGCUCUCAUUCAUAUCUCUCUCCCCUGCAGCCAGAGGCAACCACUAUCCUGAAUUUUGUAUAACUGUCACCUAGCUUUUAUAGAUUUUACUGUCUGUGUAUCCUUAACAGUUGCUUAUUUAUAGCCUUUAUAUAAAUAGAAUUAUACUGUA
ensembl:lncRNA POLR1HASP POLR1H antisense, pseudogene